AGAAGUACAUGUACCGUGGCUGUUGAAAUUUCCAACAGGCGAGUACUCCCUUGGCCGGAAGGCCCAGGUAAUCUUGUUAAACUCUGUCGUGCUGGGGAUAGAGCAUUGCAAUUAUUGCUCUUCAACGAGGAUUCCUAGUAAGCGCAAGUCAUCAGCUUGCGUUGAUUAC
rnacentral:ncRNA from 1 species